CUCCAGAAUUCAAAAAAGUAAUCGAUCAAAGCCAUAUAGUAAAAAGUGGUAGAUUGUCAGAAUUUUGAUUGAAAAUAAACAUGUUUAUGUCAUUUUUUACAAACAAACACAAGUGUUUCAGACAGAUUUUCUAUCUGGCUAUAAUUUCCAAUAGUCCAAAAAAAGCUUUAUAUAAAUAUGGGCCAAUUGAAUCGUUGAUAAAGAAAAAAAAAAUAUCGGCAACAAAAUUUGGCCAUUCAUUUGACAAAGUUUGACGAAAAAAAACCCACUGAUUAUGAUACGUCAAUCGAUAAUCUGCAUUCUCGUUUGUUUAUGGCUGAUUCAGUUUUGUUCAUUGGUUCAUUCGAGUAAUGUUUAUUUAGAUCGUGAUCCAUUUUCUGGACAUCGUAAACCAGCGGAAUAUGCAAAUGAUGAUGUAACCGAAUCCACAUCAAAAUAUCGUGGACCAUCAAAUGGUGGACCACCAGCUCAUCAUCAUCGUAUGGAUUUCAAUGAUGAUGAUGAUGAUGAUGAUCAACCUAGUCCAAGACAAGAUGAAGAUGAUUAUCAUGAUGAUCAUUUUAUUCCACCUGGACAUCGUUAUGGUCAUAGAGGUCCAGGUCCGAAUUUUAUUCCACCUGGACAUCGUUAUGGUCAUAAAGGUCAUGAUUUUAUUCCACCUGGACAUCGUUAUGGUCAUAAAGGUCAUGAUUUUAUUCCACCUGGACAUCGUUAUCAAAGACGUCCACCUCAUGAUGAUAGAGAAAGUAUUACAAUUUGUAUACCAGAAGUUGUUUAUAUUAUUGUUCCUUGUACUAAUCAAACAGAUAAUCCAAUAACAUCGACCACACCAAUGGAUCGAACAACAACAACAACAACAACAACAACAACUGAACAACCAUGAUACAUCCACCAGAGAUAUAAAGGAAUUUGAGUAAUUGUCACUUUCUUUUGACAUUUUGAAAUUGACUGAUUGAUUGAUUUGGUUUGAUUUGAUUUACAAUAACAAAAUUAUUAUUAAAAAAAAAUUUGACAAUAAACAAUAGAUAGAUUGACAAUUUUUGUCAGAGCAAAAAAAAUUGAAUAAUCUGACAAUGCAAAACAUAUGCAAAAUGUGGAUAGAGCUUUAUUGGUUAUAUAAAUGGCGUUUUUAAAUCGAAAAAACAAAAAACAAAAAUUUUCAGUUUUGAUUUGUUUGUUGUUGCAUGAAUUGCAUUAGACAACAAAAAAAAAUGCGUCAAUUAUUCACCAUUCUUUUCAUUGGUUUAUUCAUCAUUCAACUUUGUUUGAUUAUUCCAUCAUGUGAUGCAAAUCGUAACAGACACCAUCAUCGAAGGCAUAACAAUCAUAGUGAAGGACAGCAAGGUGGUCAAACAAGAGGAGAAGGACAACAAGGUGGUCAAGGACAAGAAGGUGAAUAUGGCAAUAAUCGUUAUCCACCAACAUAUUUUUGGAACAAUCACGAAAAUGAACAACGUUAAAAUGUGAAAAAUAAAAAUAAAACAUUUGUCACAUACA